rnacentral:rRNA from 1 species
UACGUAGGGUGCGAGCGUUUGUCCGGAAUUAUUGGGCGUAAAGGGCUCGUAGGCGGUUUUGUCGCGUCGGGAGUGAAAUCCAUUGGCUUAACUGGUGGCUUGCUUUCGAUACGGGCAGACUGGAGGUAUGCAGGGGAGAACGGAAUUCCUGGUGUAGCGGUGAAAUGCGCAGAGUAUCAGGAAGAACACCAAUAGGCGAAAAG